rnacentral:rRNA from 1 species
CCUACGGGUGGCAGCAGUGAGGAAUAUUGGUCAAUGGACGAGAGUCUGAACCAGCCAAGUAGCGUGAAGGAUGACUGCCCUAUGGGUUGUCAACUUCUUUUAUAAAGGAAUAAAACGAGGCACGUGUGCCUUUUUGCAUGUACUUUAUGAAUAAGGAUCGGCUAACUCCGUGCCAGCCGCCGCGGUAAUACGGAGGAUCCGAGCGUUAUCCGGAUUUAUUGGGUUUAAAGGGAGCGUAGAUGGGUUGUUAAGUCAGUUGUGAAAGUUUGCGGCUCAACCGUAAAAGUGCAAUUGAUACUGGCAGUCUUGAGUACAGUUGAGGUAGGCGGAAUUCGUGGUGUAGCGGUGAAAUGCUUAGAUAUCACGAAGAACCCCGAUUGCGAAGGCAGCUUACUAAACUGUGACUGACAUUGAUGCUCGAAAGUGUGGGUAUCAAACAGGAUUAGAUACCCGAGUAGUC